ACCAGACCCAGCUCAUACUGAGCUUUGGCUUCUCUGAUGGCUGAUCUGCAGUACCAGCACAUCAAGGCAUAAUGUCUGAAGAAUGUCUCACCGCUGCUUUACAUAUAUCUUGUAAUGGCGCCCCUUUCAGGAACGCUGCUGCUGAAGCUUAUGACCUGGUGGAGUGAGCAUGCUCUUCCAAUGGAUAAGGUUGGAUACUGAAACAUCCGUUCCGAUGAUCACCACUGUCAAAGGUUCCCUCAACUUUGGAUGAUAGAAGGUCGCCUGUGGCUGAACCAGUUCUGACAGACUCAGUGAAGUCGGUGCCGGAUGUUGUUGGGUCCAUGGGGCCUCAAUCAGACUCUGCAUCUCUGGAGUUGGAUGUUGAUGCUGGAUUCGAGUUGGUGGGAUUGGAUCCAAAGGGCUCAUAAUUAUCAAUGUCGAGGCUGCUGUCAGAGCUGAAUAGCGAGAUCAGGCCUGACUCAUCAAGUCAAGUCUUUUGUUUGGGUAAUAAAAACAGCUGAAAAUUUUCUAUAUUUUUUGUAUCUGCAAGCUCAUCCAAUUCAGAUAAGAUUCUUUCUGAAUUCUGACCAGAUUACAUUGCUCCUCAGCGAGAUUAUUUUUGCCAAACCUUAGAUUGAUGGUACAAAAUUGCCU